UAUUGCAUUAUACAACCUACAAACGUAAUUUCUUGUUCUUGCCACUCGGGCUGAUGUGGUAUAUAUUUGGGAUGGUCACACGUGCUGCUUUAGAAAAAAAUUUUUUUUUAUAGUAUAAACAAAUUUAAACAAACUACUUUCUCGCAUUGUAUUAUAUUAUAUAUUAUACGAAUUGAUAACAAAUGAUCCACUCCGUAGGACGUGUAUCAAAACAAAAAAUAAAAUAUAAAGUGGUGUUUGGUGACUUUUAAAAAUCACGCAAAGAAACACUCUAUAUGAAUGGUUACAAAUACCGCUUACUCAGCUAGUGAAAGUGCGAAGUUGUAUUUUCCAAUGUUACAGAAUCUGCAUUGAAAUUGAAUAUAGCGGAGCAGUUAGCGUUAUUAAGGGAAAGAUUAACAAAUAAAAUUUACCGGCAAAAACCGUGCCGCAUCAAAGCGAAACUUUUGCCGAUAACAUAGCCGAUAGGAGAUUUUGUUGCGGCUGUGCUGGUGGACAAUAUAAGAGUCCAGUAGAAGAUCGUCGAGGUGUCGAAUGACAAGCUGGAGUACAAUUUCAUGACAACGUUUUUCGUUGGUUUGUGUCGGAAUAGUUUUAACUUUACUCAGAAGGUUGCGCCGAUUGAACAGGAGGCGCCGAAUGUGCUAAGUAUCUGUAAUGUUGUCGAAACCGAUAUUUAAAUCCACACUCCCCCGCAGUUCCAGCCCGCUGAAAAAAGGCCAAUCGAGCGAAAGAUUGGGCCCAAGGAGAAGAUGAUAUCAUUUAAAUACCAUCCCAGUCGAUACUUUAUACUUAAAAGCGAAGAGAUUCAACUCGCUAAUCGACGUUGAAUUUGGCCAGGAGAGUCGUCAAAAGGAAUAUGGAUCAAAUAGAGUCUGCGUUGAUUUGACUGUUUAAGCCAAUUUCCAUGUUUAUACAUACCUUUUGACCGGUUGUCAAAAAGCAUGAGAAUAUAAAUAAAGCCUAUGCAGAUGGACGAUGCACAGCCUCCUUAUCCCGCACAUGAAACAAAAGAUGUCACAGGCUAACGCCACAUGCAUAAAGUGCAUAAUGAUUACGAAGAUUGGUAAGCAGGAGAGUAACCUGCUUUGGAACGACAAAUGAAGUCAACCGUUACAAACGCUGCAUCUGGAUUACCUAGGCCCAACAGAUUCUCAAAUGUUUAUUCGACUACACAAAAAGCACCAUGUGCUUACCAAUGUGCGGAUCAAAAUUACAGACAAGACAAAAUUGGAACUAGAAGAAAGAAAAGACAAGGGAGACUUUGAGAAAGAGACAAGACAAGCGCCACGAAGCUAGAAUACAAAUACCAGAAGCCCUGGAUGUCUACAAACACAAUUGUGACAAAAGGAGAAAAAAGGAGGUCACUUAAAAGGAAGGGGAUUUGUUUGUCUUCAAGCGAACGCUGUUUGUCACCGGUAGGAAACUGGCUAAUCUUUUUCCUGGACCAUAUGAAAUAGAUAAAGUGAAACCAUGUGGCCGCUGUGACGUCAAGAAGGCUGCCGAGUUUAAAGGUCAAAAUUAUAUCUCCACAAGCGUAAAUAACAUUAUGUUAUGAAGAUGUGUGGCAGGAUAUAAAAAUUUGUUGUGGUCUGAGACAGACAACGAGGAGUAGGAUGACCAAACUUAAGCAGGCGGUAUAUCGAAUAUCUUAUAACCAUUCAGUGAACUGAGAACUUAAACUGUCCAUUUCUGAAUUAUAAAUAAAAAACAAACUAUGUAACGAACUGUUUUUGUUGGUCUGCUCGCUACGAGAUACGUAGCGAGAAUACUAUUAAAGAAUCCAGUCAGUGAGAAAUCAGUCAGCGAGCGUCAGAAGCGUAAGUACAAGGAUAAUCGAUGCAAGUGUCUGAGCAGUGCACCGCGGAGAUCCACUGGUUGAGGAUACAGGAGAAGAAGAAUUCAAGGACGUGCCGUGGUUAAAAGGAUAUGUGGAGUCAGUGGUUGGUGUCCUACGACAGGAGCAGUCCGGGUGUUUGCCAUGGUUGUUCCGGGAAGAUCUGACGACACACCUUGCGGCCCCGCCACCAUAAUAUCCCAGGUCUCAUUAAGCCUGCAUGGGGUCCGUAGUCAAGUCGACGCAGGACGUCAAGCGAAGGACGUUAAGAAAACGAACAAUCGGAACUCAUACGAAGUAUACCUUUAAUAAAGCUGACGUAAAUCUAAAA